AUCCAGCUGAUGAGUCCCAAAUAGUACAAAACGCGCUUCCUGGAU
rnacentral:hammerhead_ribozyme from 1 species